rnacentral:lncRNA from 1 species
GGAAUUUUGAAAAAAAUUUUCAUUUUUUUUUUCCAACCUCGGAAUUUUGGAAAAAUUUUCAUUUUUUUUUCCAACCUCGGAAUUGUGAAAAGUACUUCAUUUAUAAAAUUCAAAUUGUCACGUCAAAGUCCCCUACUUCCCCUCCCCCCAUCGUCCUAUUAUUGCGAAGUUUGUAAGGGAGUGGUCAUUAUUUAUGGGAGGGGGCAUUGGGAAAUGGGAGGGGGGGGACAAAGUUUUACCUUUAUAAAUAGAGGGGAUCAAAAAAGUUUUAACACAGAGAAGGGGGGGUUCAUAAAAGUUUUUGAACUUAAAUACCAUGUCUAGAGUUCUGAUUUCUAUAAUCACAAAUAGCAAAAAAGAAGACUCCUUAUUUUCCCCAUUUCCCAACACCCCCCACUCCCCAUAAAUAAUGACCACUCCCUAAUCUCCCCGGGGUUCACAGGAAGAACACACAGAUAAAAUACCAAAUUCCCCCUCAUUUCCCCCCAGUUGUCCCAGGGUGUACCCCCCGGGCAGGCCGUUGAUAUGUGC